rnacentral:tRNA from 1 species
UGGCUGAGCAGUAAAGCGAUUGGCUUCCGAACCAAGGGUCCCGGGUUCGAAUCCUGG